AGCCCACUCUCUCCCAGGUCCAUUUCCAUGGGUCCGUGCUUUCCUGGAAGAACCUCUUGUGAGGCAGGCGGGCACCCCCACGCUUCAGAGGAAGCUGGCACCAGAUGAGAAGGACUCUGCCCAGUCUGAGUCAGCUGGAAUAUUAAAUUAGAGUCGAGAGACCAACUACGUGUAUGAAGAAGUCAGCAAUAAAGGAUUCUCUGCGAUUGGUGUCCUUGUGUUGUGGGUCUGGUGCUGUCUGUGCUCCCAGCCCUUCCCAGCCCUUUGUUCCCUGCUCCCCACUCCAUGCUUGCAGGUGGCAGCACGAAAGUGCCGACCUCUGAAAUCAGCCCCCUGAGACGGAGAAAAGCAUUGCGUUUAAAUCAACCUGUUCGUCCUUCACUGUGUUUCUCAAGAAGAGGAUCAGAGAUAAAGAGAAAUAUGAAAAUUUGAGGUAUCCCCUGAAUGCCUUCUACACAUCCGCAGUAGCACCUAUUGAUGACAAAGACAGCACCUGCCCACAGGAAACAUAGACCAUUCAACUGAUAACAGUCCUGGAGGCUGGAAGCCUACGAUCAAGGUGCUGGCAGACAUUGUUCCUGGUGAGCGCUCUCUUUCUGGCUUCUUCUGCUGUCUCUUCGCAGCUGUGGCCCCUUGGAGGAGGGAGCUGGGCCUUUCCACGCCUGGUUCUGUUCAUCACACAAGGAGAUUACCGAGUGAUGCUCCUGAAGCUUUCAUCCAGGGAAUCUGAGGUUUGAAAGUGUGGGAACCCCCUCCAGGAAAGAAGUAUUUAUUGUGGCCAAAAUUUUAUGUGGAUGACACCUUAGCCCCUGGACAACUCGCAUGGUGGCAGAAGACAUGUCUGUGCAAGGGGACGGUCCCUGUGCUUCCUAGUUUAUGUCUUCAGGAAGUGCCGGGGUGGUUCCUCUACGCAUUUGUGGUUUGGAGGCAACUGAAAACUAGGCUUAUCCAGAAACUAGAACUAGCUGUGGCAAUAAUGUCUUAGGUGGGUCCCCAGAGCAAUUUGUUCCACCCUGGCCUUGGGGAGGGAGUGGUAGCUCUUAUCUGAAUUGCUGGCAGGGUUUGGGGAGGUCAGGAUAUGGGCUGGGAGAUGCUUUAACCACUGUGCUCCCCUCUUCCUCAUCUGGCCAUGGGACCCUAUAAUUUUCACAUAGUUCUACUGGUUGCUCGGCGUUUCUUUAAACAGCCAAUUACAGUUUGAUUCAUGUUCCUCAGAAGCUGGAC
rnacentral:lncRNA from 1 species